rnacentral:rRNA from 1 species
UACGUAGGGGGCAAGCGUUGUCCGGAUUUAUUGGGCGUAAAGAGCGUGUAGGCGGUUUGGUAGGUCCGUUGUGAAAACUCGAGGCUCAACCUCGAGACGCCGAUGGAAACCAUCAGACUAGAGUCCGGAAGAGGAGAGCGGAAUUCCUGGUGUAGCGGUGAAAUGCGCAGAUAUCAGGAAGAACACCCGUGGCUAAGGCGGCUCUCUAGUACGGUACUGACGCUGAGACGCGAAAGCGUGGGGAGCGAACAGG